GUUCUUCUCGUCAGUUCGUCGCUCGAUCUGUGCCAGCCUGCUGCGUCUUCAUCCAGGGAUGUACAGCUAAAAGAGAGCUGACUAGGCCCGCCUGGGAAAGCAGGUAAGCACAUUCGUGUCUGGUGUGUCAGAUCUGCUAAAUUGAACUCUUGCACUUCAAGAUAGAUUUCCAUGUAUUAUUACUUUUGACUGACAGCGAGUUCAUAAAUUGUUGCUCUGUAGUGAUAAUACUCUUAGAUUAUUUCAGCCUUGUUGAUUUGAAUGUUGAAAUAUCUUUCUGGCCCUAUACAAAAAAUAUUGUUUUGUGUAAAUAAUGCAUCGCAUAUUUUUUACUGUUGGCAAAUGAAUUAUUUAUGUAUAGUUACUACCAAAUUAUCAGAAUAAUAAAUCUAUCACUCGCUCCAAUUAUUUGUAA